rnacentral:rRNA from 1 species
AACGAACGCUGGCGGCAUGCCUAACACAUGCAAGUCGAACGAGACCUUCGGGUCUAGUGGCGCACGGGUGCGUAACGCGUGGGAAUCUGCCCUUGGGUGCGGAAUAACAGUUAGAAAUGACUGCUAAUACCGCAUAAUGACUCCGGUCCAAAGAUUUAUCGCCCAAGGAUGAGCCCGCGUCGGAUUAGCUAGUUGGUGAGGUAAAAGCUCACCAAGGCGACGAUCCGUAGCUGGUCUGAGAGGAUGAUCAGCCACACUGGGACUGAGACACGGCCCAGGCUCCUACGGGAGGCAGCAGUGGGGAAUAUUGGACAAUGGGCGAAAGCCUGAUCCAGCAAUGCCGCGUGAGUGAUGAAGGCCUUAGGGUUGUAAAGCUCUUUUACCCGGGAUGAUAAUGACAGUACCGGGAGAAUAAGCCCCGGCUAACUCCGUGCCAGCCGCCGCUGUAAGAC